CCAAUUCUAAAUUAAAAGGAUCAAUUCAAUUAUAUUUGGGGGGCCAUAAUUGUUUGUGUUGUCUAAUAUGGCAUACCCCUACUAUUUGAUUGGGUCUAACUUAAUUAAAGAAGGAUCCUAAAGGAAUUCAUAACGUGCUUUAUGCUGAAACUUAAAACUCAAGACGGGAUAAGUAAACAGUGAUCCAUUUCAUUCUUAAAAUUGGACCCAAUGAUGUAAUGGAUAGGGAACCAUCAACUUCAAAAUGACUUGGGCCACAUUCAGCAACAGGCCCAAUUUCAAAAACACACUGCAGCUAUAAAGCAGGGAAUUCAAGAUUGAGUCCCUGCAGUAGCAUUCGAGAUCAGCCUUGACUGAAGGGAAAUCGACAUUAAGUCCAAUCAACUACCAGUAAUAUAAGUCAAUGCUAAACCUUCGGGCUUGGUCCUGAAUGAGCUCAUGUUUUGAUGAAGGAAGGAGGGCCCAAAAGAAUCACCAUAUGUCGACUUUGGCAGGUAAUUUACGAUGAGACAAUGAACAAUCUCCCAAUCAAUUUCCAAAUUAUAAGAUAAGAAAACAAAUUGAUGAAGCCAUAAAUAAUACUAUAGUCUGUAAAUGAAGAUGAUUUGAAAUCUACUCCAAAGUCUCACGCCUAACUUUCAAUUUAUCAAUUCAUGAAAAGUUCAUUCAAGCAUUCCUAACUAUCAUGUCAAAAAUUAAUCACACCUUAUUUCAGAUCUCCCCUCCCUUUCAAGUUUUAAAAAGAAAGCAAAAGGCAAGCAUAGCGGUUACCUUCUUUAGAACAAAAAAGAAACCUAAGAAAAUUUGAAGACAAAUGACUGCUCACUUCUACAUUUACAAACUCCACAUAGAAGAAGAGGAUUCAACAACCAACAUUUAACCUUUCAACGAGUUCAAGUAAAUAAGAGCUAGGACAUGAGUGAUUUCAAGAAUAACUGAACAAAUCUUCCAACCCAAAACAUUAGACUAAGGUUGUAUUACCAGAUUUUAACAGCUUCCUCACUCAACACACCCAAAAGAAUCAUAUGAUUCAGAUUUUUGAAGGAAAAUCAUGUGAGGAAUCAAGCUAACUUUGAGAGGUUAACCAGAGACGAACAAACAAGUUCAGAUUUCGUUUAAUACUCGGUUAGUUUUCCAAAGGCCCAAUACACUAUAGGAGCAUAACCAAUAGAAGAUUAAGAACUUUCAAAACUAGGUUAUAAACCAUACAAAUGCAGACUUAACCUGACUAUUGCCUAACCAAAUUCAACAAAAAAACUUCAAGAUUUGGAACCAACAUACGUUUGGUCAUGCAGUUAUUCACCCCAAACCAAAACCCAGAAAACCUCAAGUUAACUACUACAAACCACAGUCUAUAAUUAAUACAAAUGGAAAUACUACUUGGAGGUCACUUUCAUACACAAAAUUUAAGAGAAAAUGAAAAGACCUAUUUAACAUCUAUAUUUAGGGUCCAAGAAACUACAGUCCGAUUAUUACAAGUAUUGAAACGAGUAAAUGUUCAUGACACUACAUGAGUUCAAACAUUUUAAACCGAAAACAUGAAUCAACAAUUCGAAUAAAACAAAAACAAAAAGAAGAGGAACACAUUCAACAGGUAAGGAGAUCUUCAUCUAUUUAUGAUACAUGAAUCAACUUUUACAUUUGGUAUCAAGGUGUGUACCUAAAUAUGGCGAAGCAAAAUCAAAAGUUGAGUUAAAGACUCAGAACGAAUCAGCAACAAUAGUAACAGCCGAUCAACAAUCAGUCCACAAUGGAAUAGUAUUCCAAUAAAUCAAAUAGCUCCAAACAAUCUCUCAACUUCCCAGAAUUAAACUAUUUUUCAAACCUAGAAUCAGGAAUUCUUUAAGAUCUAAAAUUUUUGACUAAUAACGAAAUUAAAGAGCAGAACUAGGACUAUUUAAGAUUAAAAAGCUGCAGGGAUUUUUUUGUAGUUUUAGGUAUCAGUCACUCCCGUUUUUAUGAAAGAAAGGUCUAUAUAUAUAGCCCUCUUUUGGUGCCCUUGGGCUGCAAGAAACAGAAUGCGAAUAAAUUCUCUCACAAGGCAUCUUUUUUAACAGAAAUGGGACAGCUGGCAGCCUGUUAUUGGCUCCAGCAACUUGUGCUAGCCAAAUAAGGCCAGCUGCCUCUAUGUUAGAAGUUUCCAUCACAUAAACUCAUCCAAAAGACCUUCUCUAUUUUCCAAGUUGGUCCCUAAGUUUUCAUCUAUUAAACUGAGAUCCUAGAAGUGUUUACCAAUUUCAAAACCUAACCAAACAAGAUAUGGCUAGCAGCUAUGAACAAAACCAAUCAAAUAGCAUAAAAUACUAGGCUUUUGCAAUCAAAUCAACAAAAAUUCAAUUUCCUGAUAAACUUCAAAAUUCAAUGUUAAAGGCUAAUGACGAACUUGACUCUAUGAGACGAACAAAAAAAGAUUAAUAGAAUACUAAAUAUUUACUCAACCAAAUCACAGAAACCCUAAAAUUCUUAUCAUGCAAUUAAGAGGGAAAAGAAACUGAACAGUAAGAUUAAAAAAAAUCAUACUAGACCUGACUUUCACAACUGUUCAAGCAUAUGCGGGUAUAUGAUAAACAAAUCUCCAUUACAUGACUAAAGAAAACAGAGCUAAACCAAACUCGGACAGGUAACCAUAAAAGAAAUCAGAAAAGAGAAAAACCAAAAAAAUUAACAUACUAACCAGAAGCCAAAGAGGACGGGGCGAGGUUCAGACUCACCAGAACACCUAACGACUGAGCUCAAACUCGAUCAAGGAGGCAGAGAAGCGGUUGACUGAAUAGAAGUUGGCUCUCAAAAAUGAACCAACAUAAAGGUGGUUUUGGACGGGAACUCUUGUUUGACACAAGUCUUGGGUCAUCUUGGUUUCUAAAAUGUAACGAAACAACUUUGGACGAACUAGGGUUCCCAAUUCAGAUCUAAAAUUUAAGGCACUAGAAAAGGUGUUUAGGGAUUUUAUCGAUGGAUUUGGGAAAAAGAGAGUGCAGGGGUUGCCUUGUACCAAUUUGAGGCGGUUUGGAGUGAUUAGGUUUUAGAGCCCGAUUUUGGAUCUAAAAUUUGAGCAGACUCAGAGAGAUUCAAGGGGAACUACUUUGGGGUUUAGAAAGAGGGAGGUGAGAAAAUUGUUUGGUGUUAAUUUGGGGAUGAGAGGAGGUGGUACUGCCACCUUGAGGCUGUGGAAACAGGGGGUGGCGGGCUAGGUUUUUUGGGUGUUCUCUGAGGGUGCAUUGUGAGAGAGACGCUUGAGAGGGGGGGUGAUAGGUUAGGGCACUUAAAUACUCCAACAAACCUCACU
rnacentral:lncRNA from 1 species